GAACCAUGAAAAACUGCCCCAGACCAUUAUUCCUCCUUCACCAAACUUACAGUUGGCACUAUGUAUCAAGGCAGGUAGUGUUUUCCAUCUGCCAAACCCAGAUUGGUUCGUUGGACUGCCAGGUGGUGAAGCGUGAUUCACUAAAGCGUUUCUACUAGUCCAGAGUCCAAUGGCGGCAAGCUUUACACCACUCCAACGAACAGUUUAUUGUGCUGACGUUGAUUCCAGAAGCAGUUUGGAACUUGGUAGUGAGUGAUGCAACACGAAGACAAACAAGUUUUUACACGCCAAUGCGCUUCAGCACUCGGUGGUCCUCUUCUGUGAGUUUGUGUGGCUCAAUGUACUCAAUUUGAUACACAUGUCAGCAACGGGUGUGGCUGAAAUAGCCGUAUCCACUCUUGUAGGGGUGUCCUCAUACUUUUGUGUAUAUAUGGUGUAUGUCUUAUUCUCCAGGUGUUAAGAGUGGGACGGGUCAGGCCUACCAGACUGUCACAACUCUUUUUGACAGAGAAGAUUAUUUAUGUCUCUGUGCUCCAAUGGUUUUUCUUUAAUUUAGACAUAGAAAACGGUAUUUACUGCCGUUGAAUACCUAUGCCAGGGUUCCCCAAAUAGCGGUCCAUGGGCCGAAUUUGGCCUGCGUGUGGUUUUAUUUGGCCCCCAAUGUUUUCUGAGCAAAAACGCUAUUAUUUUUUUAUAUCUUUUUUUUAUAUUGUUGGACAUAAGACUGUAAAAACGUCUGGAAAUCAGCUCCAAGUUAUUUUAAGUUUCGACAUCUGUUCCUAAAUAGCUUCCUGAAAUGAUUGUUUUAAUCUAAAAUUCUUUCUGUUUGGGAUUCUUGCGGUCAAUUUGAAGUCUACAAAUAUUUGUAAUUAUGUUCCAGCCCCCCGAACAUCCUAAAAAAUGAGCCUGUGGCUAGAUCCAGUUGACGAUCCCUUCUCUAUGGUUGGGAAACAGAUAUUGUGGAAUUGUGAGUGCAUGAUAACAAGAACCUUGAAAAUGCUACCAUCCCAAUCAAACCCUCUUCAGUUGAAUGGAACGCCCCAAGAUUUCUGAUGGACCCUUCACAACAGUCUUUAAUUUGGUUCUUUCCAUUAAAAAUAUAACUUCAGAUGGCUUAUGUAGGAAUAAUCCAUGUUACAAUCAGAAUUUGUGAUGUUUGAAGGGGAGGUGAGAGUCAUACAUCAAUGUCUUUGAUAUCAAUGGAGAAAAUCUACAUCAUGUAGACAGGAGAGGAGUACUUUUUAAACAUGUUAAAUAAUUAUUGAAAGCUAUCUAAAUAAGAAUUAUCGACAGAUGUGCUCUACCUUUACCUGCCUUGUGUUUGUGUAAAUGACAGUACAUUCCAUGUCUAUUUAUAUAUGAUAACUGUACAUAUGCAUUGAGAACUUUAUAAAUCACUGGGUAUAAAAUCA